GGGAAUGUAACUCAAUGGUAGAGCACAUGCUGAGCAUGCGUGAGGUCCUGGGUUCAAUCCCCAGUACCUCCA
rfam:Camelus ferus unplaced genomic scaffold scaffold576, whole genome shotgun sequence.